GGGGAAUAUUGGGCAAUGGGCGCAAGCCUGACCCAGCAACGCCGCGUGAAGGAAGAAGGCUUUCGGGUUGUAAACUUCUUUUAUCAGGGACGAUAAUGACGGUACCUGAUGAAUAAGCUCCGGCUAACUACGUGCCAGCAGCCGCGGUAAUACGUAGGGAGCAAGCGUUAUCCGGAUUUACUGGGUGUAAAGGGCGUGUAGGCGGGACUGCAAGUCAGAUGUGAAAACUAUGGGCUUAACCCAUAGCCUGCAUUUGAAACUGUAGUUCUUGAGUGGUGGAGAGGCAAAUGGAAUUCCUAGUGUAGCGGUGAAAUGCGUAGAUAUUAGGAAGAACACCAGUGGCGAAGGCGAUUUGCUGGACACUAACUGACGCUGAGGCGCGAAAGCGUGGGGAGCAAAC
rnacentral:rRNA from 1 species